GACGAACGCUGGCGGCGUGCUUAACACAUGCAAGUCGAACGGGUCUGCCCUGUUUUUUUCGGGUUGGGUCAGUGGCGAACGGGUGAGUAACACGUGAGUAACCUGCCCCUCACUUCUGGAUAACCGCUUUAAAGGGUGUCUAAUACGGGGUGUUCUGGCUGUGCCGCAUGGUGUGGCUGGGAAAGAUUCCCUUUUGUGUUGUUUUGGUGGGUGUUGGGUUCGCGGACUAUCUGCUUGUUGGUGGGGUGAUGGCCUGCUAAGGCUGUGACGAGUAGCCGGCCUGAGAUGGUGGGCGGCCACACAGGUAAGGAAAGACCGCCAAGACUACGGCGGGAGGCAGCAGGGAGGAUUAGAGAACAAUGGGAGGAAGCCUGAUGCAGCGACGGCGCGUGAGGGAUGGAGGCCUGCGUGUUGUGAACCUCUUUCGCCGGUGAAGAAGGUCCUGCUCUUGGGGGGGGGGUUGACGGUAGCCGGGUGAAGAAGCGCCGGCUAACUACGUG
rnacentral:rRNA from 1 species